rnacentral:ncRNA from 1 species
UGAUAGCGUUGAAGCGUGAGGUUGCUGCGGUGUAUGCCGCAGGUUUUCCGUGGAGCGAAUGUCAAGUUCUAGAAACUGGCGACAA